UACGUAGGGCGCAAGCGUUGUCCGGAAUUAUUGGGCGUAAAGAGCUCGUAGGCGGCUUGUCACGUCGGAUGUGAAAGCCCGGGGCUUAACUCCGGGUCUGCAUUCGAUACGGGCUGGCUAGAGUGUGGUAGGGGAGAACGGAAUUCCUGGUGUAGCGGUGAAAUGCGCAGAUAUCAGGAGGAACACCGGUGGCGAAGGCGGUUCUCUGGGCCUUACCUGACGCUGAGGAGCGAAAGCGUGGGGAGCGAACAGG
rnacentral:rRNA from 1 species